rnacentral:rRNA from 1 species
UACGUAGGCAGCAAACGUUGUUCGGAAUUACUGGGCGUAAAGAGUGUGUAGGCGGUUCUGUAAGUUUGGUGUGAAAUCUCCCGGCUUAACUGGGAGGGUGCGCCGAAAACUGCAAGGCUUGAGUGCUGGAGAGGAUAGCGGAAUUCCUGGUGUAGCGGUGAAAUGCGUAGAUAUCAGGAGGAACACCGGCGGUGUAGACGGCUAUCUGGACAGUAACUGACGCUGAGACACGAAAGCGUGGGGAGCAAACAGG